rnacentral:rRNA from 1 species
AUUGAACGCUGGCGGCAGGCCUAACACAUGCAAGUCGAGCGGAUGAAGGGAGCUUGCUCCUGGAUUCAGCGGCGGACGGGUGAGUAAUGCCUAGGAAUCUGCCUGGUAGUGGGGGAUAACGUCCGGAAAUGGGCGCUAAUACCGCAUACGUCCUGAGGGAGAAAGUGGGGGAUCUUCGGACCUCACGCUAUCAGAUGAGCCUAGGUCGGAUUAGCUAGUUGGUGGGGUAAAGGCCUACCAAGGCGACGAUCCGUAACUGGUCUGAGAGGAUGACCAGGCACACUGGAACUGAGACACGGUCCAGACUCCUACGGGAGGCAGCAGUGGGGAAUAUUGGACGAUGGGCGAAAGCCUGAUCCAGCCAUGCCGCGUGUGUGAAGAAGGUCUUCGGAUUGUAAAGCACUUUAAGUUGGGAGGAAGGGCAGUAAGUUAAUACCUUGCUGUUUUGACGUUACCAACAGAAUAAGCACCGGCUAACUUCGUG